UAAAAUGUAGUCUAUAUAACUAAGACAAUUGGCUUACAACCUUUAAAAACUCCAUUUUUU
rnacentral:tRNA from 1 species